UGGGGGAUUUUGGACAAUGGGGGCAACCCUGAUCCAGCGAUGCCGCGUGUGUGAAGAAGGCCUGCGGGUUGUAAAGCACUUUUAGUGGGGAAGAGUAGGGAUGAUUGAAUAGGUCAUGCUGAAGACGGUACUCACAGAAACAGCACCGGCUAACUCUGUGCCAGCAGCCGCGGUAAGACAGAGGGUGCGAGCGUUAAUCGGAAUUACUGGGCGUAAAGGGCGCGUAGGCGGAUAGGUAAGUUAUAUGUGAAAUAUCUGGGCUUAACCUGGAGGGGACGUAUAAUACUGCUUGUCUAGAGUGAGUGAGAGGGGAGAGGAAUUUCCGGUGUAGCGGUGAAAUGCGUAGAUAUCGGAAGGAACACCAGAGGCGAAGGCGACUCUCUGGCACGACACUGACGCU
rnacentral:rRNA from 1 species